rnacentral:rRNA from 1 species
GACGAACGCUGGCGGCGUGCUUAACACAUGCAAGUCGAACGGUGAACCUGCUUCGGUGGGGGAUCAGUGGCGAACGGGUGAGUAACACGUGGGCAACCUGCCCUCAGCUCUGGGAUAACUCCAAGAAAUUGGGGCUAAUACUGGAUAUGACCGCUGACCGCAUGGUCUGGUGGUGGAAAGAUUUAUCGGCUGGGGAUGGGCCCGCGGCCUAUCAGCUUGUUGGUGGGGUAGUGGCCUACCAAGGCGACGACGGGUAGCCGGCCUGAGAGGGUGACCGGCCACACUGGGACUGAGACACGGCCCAGACUCCUACGGGAGGCAGCAGUGGGGAAUAUUGCGCAAUGGGCGAAAGCCUGACGCAGCGACGCCGCGUGGGGGAUGACGGCCUUCGGGUUGUAAGCCUCUUUCAGCAGGGACGAAGCGAAAGUGACGGUACCUGCAGAAGAAGCACCGGCCAACUACGUG